rnacentral:rRNA from 1 species
AUACAGAGGGUGCAAGCGUUAAUCGGAUUUACUGGGCGUAAAGCGCGCGUCGGCGGCUAAUUAAGUCAAAUGUGAAAUCCCCGAGCUUAACUUGGGAAUUGCAUUCGAUACUGGUUAGCUAGAGUGUGGGAGAGGAUGGUAGAAUUCCAGGUGUAGCGGUGAAAUGCGUAGAGAUCUGGAGGAAUACCGAUGGCGAAGGCAGCCAUCUGGCCUAACACUGACGCUGAGGUGCGAAAGCAUGGGGAGCAAACAGGAUUAGAUACCCCAGUAGUCC